rnacentral:lncRNA from 1 species
GGAUCCAGAUGAGAGAGAAGGUCAAGGGCUUGUAUAUAGACUACAAUUUGAUUGACUCGCACUCUGGAUGGAAAGAAAGGUGGUGCUACAUCGAAAACCACAAACCCAAGCUUCCAUAGCUGACAAGCCACCGCCUGACGUGCAACAACAGGUGGUUAGACAAGGCUUCACACGGGGACUAUUUAUAGCUACCCGAGCUCCUAGAUAGGACUGCUAGGCUCAAAUAGGAAGGGCUG